AGUAGGAUGGCUGAGGUUAUAAGGUAAAAGAUUGUAAAUCUUUUAAGGAGUUGGUUAAACUCUUCUACUA
rnacentral:tRNA from 1 species